rnacentral:lncRNA from 1 species
UGUGACUUUAUGUUUGCGUCAUUUAAAUGCGGUUGAUACUCCUGACUUUGCAUUGUGUAAAUUGCGUCAAUUGUUAAAUAUUAAAAUAUGAAAUAUAAAGAUAAUAUUAGCCUAUAUUUAAUGGUCAUGAAUUUAAUCAGAAGUCGUGUGAAAAAAACGGUAGUGCACCUUUAAAGCGAUGGCUACUGAAACCGCGAAAGUUAAAAUGACCUAAUUGGGCGGCGACAAAUCAUCACGACUCCUCAUCUGUCAUAACCUUGUGAAAAUGUGUGUACGUACUGUACAUUAACUAAUGCAAUGAUGGCGUGAAAGAAAAGGAAGAUUGACGAUGAAAACAGAGUUUUCAACCCUGCGUGGCAAAUGGAAUUUGCCUUUGCGGAGAUACUAGGUGGCAAACCAAUCCAAUGUGUCUCAUUUGUCAGAAAACAAUUGCUGUAUUCAAGCGAGCUAAUCUGCAGCGCCACCAUGAGCAACUUCAUCCCGACUUCACCGUCGCCUAUCGGAUACGGAUUAUAUCCACACGGCAGCGAUCUCAGGUGUCAAAAGGUGUGAUUGUGCUUCAAGUUCAGGACCUCAAGAAGGAUGUGGCUUUUUGCAACUACCAUGUUUUUUCAUUUUUCAGAACCGCUUGUCCCAUAGCUCCUGAGAUCAUUCAGGCACUCAAACCCCUCCACCACGUUAAGGUGGCGGUUCGAGGAGGGGCAUAUUGACAGCCUAUCUCAAUACUUCCUUUCGCCUGCUAAUUCAUUAUGAACUACCAUGUUGUUUGGUCUAAUUUAUGCUCUCAACCUGAAGUUCCCCACAAAGUUGUGCUACACUUUUGAGGUUCCAAGUUGUAUAGAAGAGUCUGAGAAGACAAAGUUAUUUUAUUAAGUAAAAUUAUUAGUGCUGUUAUGUUCUGUUUGUUUACAGAGACAUGCAGUUUAAUGUUUAUGCAGAAAUGUGAGGUGUAACUUGUGUUGCUUAUUGUCUUGUUAACAAAAUGUUUCUUAUGAUGUUUGUGGCCUUCAUGGUGGAAUAGUUAAUAUGUCAAGCUGUAAAAUGGUUGCGUAUGUCUACAUCAGCACAUUUUUCCCGUAUUUCCAGAUACAAGUUGCUUUUAAGUCAAACUUGCCAAUUGACCUGUUAAAGAGAUGUAAUUUAAACUAAGUUUUAAUAGACAUGAUCCUUAAGAGCUAAUCUCUGUAUUUCACAUUGCAGUGCAUUUAAGAGUAUUGUUCAUAUUGCUAUUAAAGGACUGAUGGAUCACUUAAUGAAAUAAAGCCUUUGAAUGUAAAUCUAUUUGUGUUAUU